rnacentral:rRNA from 1 species
AGCGAACGCUGGCGGCAGGCCUAACACAUGCAAGUCGAACGAACCCUUCGGAGUUAGUGGCGGACGGGUGAGUAACACGUGGGAACGUGCCUUUAGGUUCGGAAUAACUCAGGGAAACUUGUGCUAAUACCGAAUGUGCCCUUCGGGGGAAAGAUUUAUCGCCUUUAGAGCGGCCCGCGUCUGAUUAGCUAGUUGGUGAGGUAAUGGCUCACCAAGGCUACGAUCAGUAGCUGGCCUGAGAGGAUGACCAGCCACAUUGGGACUGAGACACGGCCCAAACUCCUACGGGAGGCAGCAGUGGGGAAUCUUGCGCAAUGGGCGAAAGCCUGACGCAGCCAUGCCGCGUGGAUGAUGAAGGUCUUAGGAUUGUAAAAUCCUUUCACCGGUGAAGAUAAUGACUGUAGCCGGAGAAGAAGCCCCGGCUAACUUCGUGCCAGCCGCCACCGUAAGAC